rnacentral:rRNA from 1 species
UACGUAGGUGGCGAGCGUUGUCCGGAAUUACUGGGUGUAAAGGGCGUGUAGGCGGGACUGUAAGUCAGAUGUGAAAUUCCCCGGCUCAACUGGGGCCCUACAUCUGAAACUAUGGUUCUUGAGUGCUGGAGAGGGAAGCGGAAUUCCAAGUGUAGCGGUGAAAUGCGUAGAUAUUUGGAGGAAAACCAGUGGCGAAGGCGGCUUUCUGGACAGUAACUGACGCUGAGGCGCGAAAGCGUGGGGAGCAAACAGG